UACGUAGGGUGCGAGCGUUAAUCGGAAUUACUGGGCGUAAAGCGUGCGCAGGCGGUUCGUCGUGUCCGAUGUGAAAGCCCCGGGCUCAACCUGGGAAUGGCAUUGGAAACUGGCGGGCUUGAGUGUGGCAGAGGGGGGUGGAAUUCCCGGUGUAGCGGUGAAAUUCGUAGAUAUCGGGAGGAACACCAGUGGCGAAGGCGAGUCUCUGGGAUGAUGCUGACGCUGAUGCGCGAAAGCCAGGGGAGCAAACGGG
rnacentral:rRNA from 1 species